rnacentral:rRNA from 13 species
GGGAUACCCGCUGAACUUAAGCAUAUCAAUAAGCGGAGGAAAAGAAACCAACAGGGAUUGCCCUAGUAACGGCGAGUGAAGCGGCAACAGCUCAAAUUUGAAAUCUGGCUCUUUCAGAGUCCGAGUUGUAAUUUGCAGAGGGCGCUUUGGAGUUGGCAGCGGUCCAAGUUCCUUGGAACAGGACGUCACAGAGGGUGAGAAUCCCGUACGUGGUCGCUAGCCCUCACCGUGUAAAGCCCCUUCGACGAGUCGAGUUGUUUGGGAAUGCAGCUCUAAAUGGGAGGUAAAUUUCUUCUAAAGCUAAAUAUUGGCCAGAGACCGAUAGCGCACAAGUAGAGUGAUCGAAAGAUGAAAAGCACUUUGGAAAGAGAGUUAAAAAGCACGUGAAAUUGUUAAAAGGGAAGGGAUC